rnacentral:rRNA from 1 species
CCCUUAGAUGUCCUGGGCCGCACGCGUGCUACACUGAUGCAUACAGCGAGUACUCCCAGCUCCGAGAGGCUGCUGGUAAUCAGCAAUAUGCAUCGUGAUGGGGACAGAUCUUUGGAAUUAUAGAUCUUGAACGAGGAAUUCCUAGUAAUCGCAGGUCAUCACCCUGCGUUGACUAAGUCCCUGCCCUUUGUACACACCGCCCGUCGCUCCUACCGAUUUCGAGUGAUCCGGUGAAUCAUUCGGACCGCGGCCCCUAGGCAUGCGGAAAGUCUAGUAAACCAUAUCACUUAGAGGAAGGAGAAGUCGUAACA